ACGCUGGCGGCGUGCCUAAUACAUGCAAGUCGAACGGUCUUUCUAUGGAAGCUUGCUUCCACUGAGAAGAUAGUGGCGAACGGGUGAGUAACACGUGGGUAACCUGCCCAUAAGAGGGGGAUAACAUCCGGAAACGGGUGCUAAUACCGCAUAGUUUUCUUGAUUGCAUGAUUGAGAAAGGAAAGACGGCCUUUGUGCUGUCGCUUAUGGAUGGACCCGCGGCGUAUUAGUUAGUUGGUGAGGUAACGGCUCACCAAGACGAUGAUACGUAGCCGACCUGAGAGGGUGAUCGGCCACAUUGGGACUGAGACACGGCCCAAACUCCUACGGGAGGCAGCAGUAGGGAAUCUUCCGCAAUGGACGAAAGUCUGACGGAGCAACGCCGCGUGAGUGAAGAAAGGUUUUCGGAUCGUAAAACUCUGUUGUCAGAGAAGAACAAGUUGGAGAGUAACUGCUCCAGCCUUGACGGUAUCUGACCAGAAAGCCACGGCUAACUACGUGCCAGCCGCUGC
rnacentral:rRNA from 1 species